UACGUAGGGUGCAAGCGUUGUCCGGAUUUAUUGGGCGUAAAGAGCGUGUAGGCGGCUUUACAGGUCCGUUGUGAAAACUCGAGGCUCAACCUCGAGACGCCGGUGGAAACCGUAAGGCUAGAGUCCGGAAGAGGAGAGUGGAAUUCCUGGUGUAGCGGUGAAAUGCGCAGAUAUCAGGAAGAACACCCGUGGCGAAGGCGGCUCUCUGGGACGGUACUGACGCUGAGCCGCGAAAGCGUGGGGAGCGAACAGG
rnacentral:rRNA from 1 species